rnacentral:tRNA from 1 species
CGCGGGGUAGAGCAGCUAGGUAGCUCGUCGGGCUCAUAACCCGGAGGUCGCAAGUUCGAAUCCUGCCCCCGCAACCA